GCUGAGUAGACAGAGGCUGAGUAAGAAUUUCGCUGUAGGCAAUGGCUUGGAGUUAAGACCUUCCAGGCUGCAGGAAAUGGAGAAAGGCCUCAAGGGAGAGACGUUCCCACCCUGAAGCGUGAGGCAGGCCACCUUAUAGGGCAAAGACAACUUCGAGGAUGAUUGGGAAUCCAAACCUUAAGGGGAUAAUUCAUGCUCUCCUUCAUCCUGGCAGGCCAGUCCUGGAUGGAGCCCGAGAACUUCUCAGUCUGCGGCCAGGGACAGAGACCAGAGGAGGACUCCAUGAAGCUGUGGGAUUUGAAGAGGGACAGAGGAGCACUGGAGCCAGGAAAUGUCAUUGUCUGGAGCCGUCCACCCUGAUGUCAUCAUCCUAUUGUAUGGAGACCGAUGAGUUGUGCAGGUUGCAAGCCAUGCUUCCUGGUUCCGCUUCUCAGGUCACCUAACAUCUAGAAAAGUCUGUCCCACCCUCUCCCCUGAUCUUCUGUUACACGGUAUAUAGGGUCAGGGUAAGGCUUGAUCCCUAGUUAGUCUUCUGUUCGUUAAGAAGCCCCCAAAGCCAUGUUCCUGUUUACCCCGAAUAACCACAGCACUUUCUGCCGGGAAAGCCUUGCCUGGCUUCUCCAUUUGCUUUGUAGGAAGGGCACACAGGGACUUAUCUCGCAGUGCCUGGGAGCUCUUCAGCUCCCUUCGGGUGGGGUUACUCUGUUCUGCUCGUGUUUGCCGGGUUGUUUCUUUCUUCUUCACAACCUCAUUUACCACAGAGCCGAUUCCAGCUUACAAGUACGGCUGGAGCAGCUUGACAGAACAAACCCAAUCAUCUUGCUUUGCUUUUGCUCUCAGCAAAAAAUAAAAAUUUAGUCACUGGGGAUGUAGCUUAGGGAUAGACCACUUACUUAGCAUGUGCUACGGUCUGGCUUCAAUUCCCAGCACUGCAAAGUAACAACAAUAACACAAAUAAAUAAAAGUAUGCUAUAGUACAUCUGAGAGGCCUGAGUUGAGCUCCUUAUAGUGUUUUGCAAUCCCCUCUCCCUUCCUGUAGAUUUAGUCCUGAUGGUCUGGAAUGAUUGUCCCUCACAGACAAAGGCUGCUCUUGGCCCGUUUUGCUUUCACAUCCAUUUGAUAUUUUUGUUUGUUUGUUUGAUGGUACUGAACUACGGCCCC
rnacentral:lncRNA from 1 species